rnacentral:tRNA from 1 species
GUGGAUAUAGCUCAGCUGGUUAGAGCACCGGAUUGUGGUUCCGGGGGUCGUGGGUUCGAAUCCCAUUAUCCACC